rnacentral:rRNA from 1 species
AUUGCGGUGGUCCCACCUGACCCCAUGCCGAACUCAGAAGUGAAACGCCGUAGCGCCGAUGGUAGUGUGGGGUCUCCCCAUGCGAGAGUAGGGAACUGCCAGGC